rnacentral:lncRNA from 13 species
UCUAAAAGAAAUUCUAAAUUCUAAAAGAAAAGGGGAUAAAUGGCCUAGGGCUAUAUGACUAAAGAAAAAAUGAGGCUGGGCGCGGUGGCUCAAGCCUGUAAUCCCAGCACUUUGGGAGGCUGAGGUGGGUGAAUCACGAGGUCAAGAGAUCGAGACCAUCCUGGUCAACAUGAUGAAACCCCGUCUCUACUAAAAAUACAAAAAAUUGGGCCGGGUGCGGUGGCUCACGCCUGUAAUCCCAGCACUUUGGGAGGCCGAGGCGGGUGGAUCACGAGGUCAAGAGAUCGAGACCAUCCUGGUCAACAUGGUGAAACCCUGUCUCUACUAAAAAUACAAAAAAUUAGCUGGGCAUGGUGGUGCGUGCCUGUAAUCCCAGCUACUCAGGAGGCUGAGGCAGGAGAAUUGCCUAACCCCAGGAGGCGGAUGUUGCGGUGAGCCGAGAUUGCGCCAUUGCACUCCAGCCUGGGUAACAAGAGUGAAACUCCGUCUCAAAAAAAAAAAAAAAAGAAAGAAAAAAAAGAAAAGAAUUAGAAUUAUAAUCACAUAAUUAUUCAUAAGUAAUCGUAGAUACAGAUACCUAGAUAUAUAUACUCAGUAUAACCUUUAAUUUUGCUAAUGUUUUUCAGGUUGCAAAGUGUAAAUCUAAGGUGACACUGUGAAAGAAGUGACCCUAAGGCAAGACGCUCUAAGCUUUGUGUCAUGCCUGUGUAAGAGCUGCUGCAGGGCACCUUGGCUAUGCCACAGCGCCAGUGCUGGGAAAGUGCCUGCUGAUUAACAAGCUGUGGAAGGAGAGGUCCGAAAUGUCUACUUCCUCGGAGGAGUUAGGAGAGAACUCCACUCCCUCAAGCUUUUGCCAUAGGCCUGACAGCUGUCAGGGUCUUGCUCUGUUACCAGGAUGGAGUGAAAUAGAACAGUCUAGGCUCAUUGCAACCUCUGCCGCCUGCACUCAAGUGAUCCUCCCACCUCAGCCUCCCAAGCAGCUGCUCACUUUGGCCUCCUAAAGUGAUGGGAUUACAGAUGUGAGCCAUUGUACCCAGCCCUGGUAAGUUUUCAAUAAUGAGUAAAUGACUCUGGAUGUCUGAGCCUUGCUUAUCCACCCCCUCACAUUGGUCCUCUUCAUUUUCGGGGUCAUAACUGGGGAGAAGAUUUUAUAGAUGCUUUGAAGGAAAGUCAGCAGGUCUGGAGUAUGAUGAAAUCCCAUCUCUCUGUUCCUUUUCUCUUGUGAUUUGAUACCAUGAAAGGUAGAUGACAUCUGCAAAGGCAUCUGUCUCAUUUCUACGCAGUUCUGGUUGCUAACAGUUUCUUCCUUAAAAUCUGGGUCUAGUAUUUGCUGAUUACUGC